UAUACAUAUAAUCUGUUGUAUUUAGGAAUACGGGAACAACCUGUUGGAAUCUGGGGUACACGGAGCUCUUAUAGCCCUCGAUGAAAGUUUCGAUGCAAAUAGUUUCGCUCUAGCCUUGCAAAUACCGACUCAAAACACGCAAGCUCGACAACUGUUGGAAAUGGAAUUUGCAAAUUUAUUAACUGUGGGAACAGAGAGGCGAAUCGACGAAUCGAACAGUAUGAAAUCCUGAUCCAACUCAUCCAGUAGGCUGCCUCAUCUUCAACCACACCAUGUCUAGUCCAGAACCCCAGAUAUUACUACUCUCUGUACGCAAGUGUGUUGUAAAAGUUGUAAGAGCUUUAAGUAUCAUUCUAAGGGUAACUUUAUACUGUUAAGAGUGUAACAUGCGGUGGUAUGAAAAAGUGAUUGAACAUAAAACUGUUAAAAAAAGGAUGAUUAUAUCGUACGUUCAAUAAGGAAGUUUAAAGCGUUUUAUCGAUUUUGACGUCACGCGUUUCAUAAAUCGCAUGUUACGCGUUUCGCUGAACAAAUAAAUAAUUCUGAAUGAAAUUGCUUUCGUAUAGAUA